rnacentral:sRNA from 1 species
GCUGGGCGUGGUGGCGCAUGCCUGUUCUCCCAGUGGCUAGGGAGGCUGAUGCAGGAGGAUCGUGAGCUCAAAGCCAGCCUCAGCAAAAAGUGAGGUGCUAAGCAACUCAGUGAGACCUUGUCUCUA